UGGGCAUGGUGGGGAUGGGUUGGGGUUGGACGUGGUGAUCUUAGUGGUCUUUUCCCACCUU
rnacentral:miRNA from 7 species